rnacentral:rRNA from 1 species
AACGAACGCUGGCGGCAUGCCUAACACAUGCCAGUCGAACGAGACCUUCGGGUCUAGUGGCGCACGGGUGCGUAACGCGUGGGAACCUGCCCUUAGGUUCGGAAUAACUCCCCGAAAGGGGUGCUAAUACCGGAUAAUGUCUUCGGACCAAAGAUUUAUCGCCUUUGGAUGGGCCCGCGUUGGAUUAGCUAGUUGGUAGGGUAAAAGCCUACCAAGGCGACGAUCCAUAGCUGGUCUGAGAGGAUGAUCAGCCACACUGGGACUGAGACACGGCCCAGACUCCUACGGGAGGCAGCAGUGGGGAAUAUUGGACAAUGGGCGAAAGCCUGAUCCAGCAAUGCCGCGUGAGUGAUGAAGGCCUUAGGGUUGUAAAGCUCUUUUACCCGGGAUGAUAAUGACAGUCCCGGGAGAAUAAGCGCCGGCUAACUCCGUG